UUCCCUGCAUUGCAAACCUGCAGCGGGGAGGGGGAGAAAGUUAGACACCUAUCGGGGUCUAAAAAAAGCAAAGUAUAAAAAAGCAGCACAGGGCACAGUCCUUGACCAUGCCCUGAGGCAACUGGAGGCCACAUAGAGACGCUCUAGCUGCCCCUCGCCCUGGUAGUGAAACACAUGGCCGGCCAGGGCCAACAUCUGGAUGUAGGAGAGAGGCUGCAGGGCCCUGCCGGAGUGCCACCUCAAGGUUACUGCUGCCCACUCCUGAAGCCACCCAGCUGCACCAGCAGUGCACCACAGAUAGACCCUCCUGCUCCAGCAGCUGGUGGCAGUGGUGGAGAACUGGGCAGCAUGGGAGCAGAAAAGGUCCAACUUUGGCAGUGCCAGUGAAAAUUCCCUCACCUUUCUUGAGGACAACUCAAGAUUUGAAGGACUACUUUGAGAGAUCGCUGAUCAACCAGUAGUUGAUAAGAACUUUCAUCACAACUCAUGUGGACUCCAUUUUAAUUAGAGAUCUAGAAUGAAAAGGUGCUUUCAGCCAGUUGUCAUUAGAAAUAACAUUUUAAUAAUAAAAAAAUAGAUGCAAUUAACUUCUUAUAUAUUGUGAGAAAUAGCUUUUCCUAUGUGAAAUUUCAUGUAAUUUGAAAAGAAAAGUACUCAAUUUAAGAACUAUCCUCUUUAAAGCAAGGUAAUAGAAGUUUUUCUUUCAAAAGACUUUUGUUACAGCCCUGCAUUUUCCCUCAUGGUUUAUGCCAAUUCCAGUAGAGCUAUUGGGGAUACUACACUGAUCCAUUUCUAUCCUCACAAAAGGAUCCUAAUGCUGAAUAUAGUAGGAGGAAACAUGAAAUGCCUGGUCUUUCCUUCAUCCACCUACAGAGAAGUGGCCUGUUUUUUUGUCUGGCCCAGUUCAGAUCCAUUGUAAUUAAUUACCAACUGCACACAUACUUUUGCUAAAUAAAGUUAAACAAAGUACAGUGUGGACUCCAAAGAGACAAAAGGUCUUUCCAAAAUAAUCAAAUUGUCUGAAAAUAUAGAUGGUCCAGAACAAAAACCAAAUACCUUUGAACCUUUAGGCAUAGAUUAAUCUGUAACUGAAAACAGACAAUGAAGGCAUUAUAAUCAGGAAGUGUAAAGAGAAAGAAGACACGUUUAAAAAGGCAAGACAUCCUAUGAUUCAUAUUACUUUAUUGUUCACCGAAUUAAAAGAGAGUAAUUGCUUGUGAUGUGACGAAGUCUCCAAAAUCCAUCCGAAUGGAAUUGCAGAAUCAUUGAAAUGUAGAGGAUGGCAAUAAGCUGGCCCUGACUGUGGUCAAUUUGAGCUUCAUACAAUCCAGAAAGGUGGGAAAAGCAGAAAAUGCCAUUUAUCACCUUUGCCUCAUACAUUCUGGAAACAGCCAGGCACCACAGCAGUCCAUGGUGUAAACAAAGGUAACCCCUAGGACUGCUCAGUGCCCACUACAGUUCUUAGUGAAGCUGUUUGGUGCUCCAGCCCUGGCUUCCUCCUCCAUUGGCCACUCCCUCAGCUUGUCCCUGUGCCAAGGGCCCCGAGGAAGGUUAACAUAAGCCCAUUCUGUAGUGUAGGCCCUACAUGACUAGGCAGUUGCCCAUGCACAUAGGUGGUUUCCCUCUUGAAAUGACUAGUCAGGUCUGUGGUUCCUGUACACCCAAGGCCAAUGUUGAAGGGUAGCAUUAUUGGGCAGACCAUGUCCCACUAGUCAGCAGAAUCUGUUAUGUUAUUUAUAUGAACACAGGAACAACAGUAUGUAGGCUGCCUUUUUAUGUUUUGGAAAUGAAGCUCAAAGUACUAUUUUAUCAGAAUAACUCCUGUCUUAACUAAGAUUGUGUGAUCUUUAUUCAUGUUUAAGGAAAACAGGUUAAUGGUUUCCAUACAGUUCCACAUUGUAACCCACACUGACAAAUCAUUGUAUGGAAUGCGAGAUAAUUCAAUAUGAUCAGCAAUUUUGCUUGAGACAGGCCCAGAGCUGAUUUAUCAUAAAAAUAUUAAAACUUCUCCUUCCUUAAAAAAGAAAUGGAUGACUUUUCCAGGCCAUUACUGUGAGGUAAAAAUAGUGAAGAAUCAAAAGUAUAAAUACCUGUG